rnacentral:snRNA from 1 species
GCUUGCUUCAUCAGCUUAUAACUAAAACUGGAACAAUACAGAGAUACAGGUAUGGCCCCCGAACAAGGAUGACAUGCAAAUUCAAGAAGCAUUCCGUAUAAUU